rnacentral:rRNA from 1 species
UCUGAUGGCGACCGGCGUACGGGUGAGUAACGCGUAUCCAACCUGCCCUUUACUAUGGGACAGCCCGUCGAAAGGCGGAUUAAUACCGUAUGUUGUCAUGUUGAUGCAUAUUUUCAUGACCAAAGGCUUCGGCCGGUAAAGGAUGGGGAUGCGUCUGAUUAGCUUGCCGGCGGGGUAACGGCCCACCGGGGCGACGAUCAGUAGGGGUUCUGGGAGGAAGGUCCCCCACAUUGGAACUGAGACACGGUCCAAACUCCUACGGAAGGCAGCAG